CAGCAAAAAUUUUCGUUUGUGCUACUUCCGUUUCGGAGAUAUUAGACAUUUAUUUUAUAGCGAUGACGUCACCCAGCCCCCCACCGGUCUCCAAAUGGACCCAAAAUGGUACCGUUCGUUUGUGCUUCGUUUGUGCAGGUUUGUGCAGCAAAAAAUUUCGUUUGUGCUGCGAUGGUUUCGGAGAUAUUAGACAUUUAUUUUAUAGCGAUGACGUCUGGUAGCCCCGCCCCCUUGUUUACUUCCGAACGACCCAAAAUAGUGCCAUUCGUUCGUUUGUUUGGUUUGUGCUGGUUUGUGCUGCAAAAAUGGUAUCGAUUGUGCCGGCUGCUACGGUUUUGCAGAUAUUACACAUUUAAUUCAUAGCGAAGACGUCACCCAGCCCCACGUCACUGUUUUUUGUCGCGAAUUUCAAGCUCCUGGAAUGCUCCUGAUGCAGGACGAAUACAAGGUCAUUAUAGAUCUCCCAGGCAUAUGCAGUCCUCCUGCAGUAUGCCACAUAAUGCCCGAGAGAAUCCUGGGUCAGUCCUGGUUCAAAGCCAAUGACUGCUCUCAAAGUAAAGGUCUUCUCUUUUAGCUCCAGACUGGAGGGAAAUUCAAGCAAGGCAACUUCCUUGCAACUGCUACCAAGAGUUUUGAAUGAAGACGGACACCGGGAAGGAUUUUUGGCGUUCAGUGAAUCAUUCAAUUUGUCAUUUAUUUAAUACUAAUUUAUUUUCUAGAGAUGUCAUAUCCUUACUUCAUGGAUCGUUAAUUAACCAUUUGUUUGUGCCAUUGCAAUUUUUCAUUAUUAAAAUCAUGCAUCUUCAUUAA